GCCCUGUGAUCUCGUCCUCCUCCUUCGACGCCGAUGAUUAGCAGCAUCGGAGCCUCCCCCUCGUCCAGCGGUGCUCGAUCUCCGCGACUUGCCCUGCUUCCUCUUCACUGCUGGGUUUUUGGGGGAGGAUUCCAUCGAUCCUUCGAUUGAAUGCGCGUUGGGGAGGAGGAGGAGGAGUAAGACGAGACACAGCGAAGAUGCAGCAGCCUCCGCAGAUGAUAUCUACAAAGGGAAAUUGAUUAAGCUAGACAUCCACAUUGACACGGACAAAGUA